AGCUUGUUCGCUGGCUUGCUGCAUCAGUGAUUGUAGGAAAGCUUUCCCUUAGAUUCAGUAAUUCGGACUUGUGUCAUUCCUUUGACAGAUCUAAGCUCAAUAACCUGCUUUCUCUGAUGGAAUGGAAUGAGCAAAGAUGUGAGGAAACCAACAGGCAUUUGCAUGUGAAGGAACUUUGGGAAUGAGCAAAGAUGUGAGGAAACCAACUGGGCAUUUGCAUGUGAAGAAACUUUGGCCUCAUCCAUCUUUUUUCUGCAACAGCUACAAUGUACAAACUAUAUAGUACUUCCAUCUGUUGUUUCUGCACUCUGUCUGC
rnacentral:lncRNA from 1 species